rnacentral:rRNA from 1 species
UACGGAGGAGGCAAGCGUUAUCCGGAAUGAUUGGGCGUAAAGCGUCCGCAGGUGGCUGUGUAAGUCUGCUGUUAAAGAGUGAGGCUCAACCUCAUAAAGGCAGUGGAAACUACAUGGCUAGAGUGCGUUCGGGGCAGAGGGAAUUCCUGGUGUAGCGGUGAAAUGCGUAGAUAUCGGGAGGAACACCUGAGGCGAAGGCGGGCUACUGGGCUGAUACUGACGCUGAUGCGCGAAAGCCAGGGGAGCGAACGGG